AAGUCGUAACAAGGUAACCGUAGGUGAACCUGCGGUUGGAUCAUUAAUGAUUUUAUGAAUUUUUUCUUAGGAGGAAAUUCAAAUAAAAGAGUAGCUUUAUUGCUACUUGAACCCAUUUGUGAAUUGUUUUAGUCAUUGGUCAAACUAUUUUAGUACUUUGGUACUAAAGAAAUUUGGCCAGUCAAGUAGAAACUUAGUUUUAAUUUUGUUUAUCAUUCUUAAAAAAAAAUGAAACAACUUUUGACAACGGAUCUCUUGGCUCUC
rnacentral:misc_RNA from 1 species